GAAGGUGGCAAGCGUUACUCGGAAUUACUAGGCGUAAAGGGCAGGUAGGUGGUUUGGUAAGUCUGUUGUGAAAGCUCCCGGCUUAACUGGGAGAGGUCAACAGAAACUACCGGACUUGAGUGUGGGAGAGGGUACUGGAAUUCCUGGUGUAGCGGUGAAAUGCGCAGAGAUCAGGAGGAACACCUAUGGCGAAAGCAGGUACCUGGACCACUACUGACACUCAGCUGCGAAAGCUAGGGGGAGCAAACAGGAUUAGAUACCCUGGUAGUCCUAGCCGUAAACGAUGCACAUUAGGCGUGAGGGGUAUCGACCCCCUUCGUGCCGACGCAAACGCAUUAAAUGUGCCGCCUGGGGAGUACGGCCGCAAGGUUG
rnacentral:rRNA from 1 species